rnacentral:rRNA from 1 species
AGCGAACGCUGGCGGCAGGCUUAACACAUGCAAGUCGAACGGCCCUUCGGGGCAGUGGCGGACGGGUGAGUAACACGUGGGAACGUGCCCUUAGGUUCGGAACAACACAGGGAAACUUGUGCUAAUACCGGAUGUGCCCUUUUGGGGAAAGAUUUAUCGCCUUUGGAGCGGCCCGCGUCUGAUUAGCUAGUUGGUGGGGUAAAAGCCUACCAAGGCGACGAUCAGUAGCUGGUCUGAGAGGANGGCCAGCCACACUGGGACUGAGACACGGCCCAGACUCCUACGGGAGGCAGCAGUGGGGAAUCUUGCGCAAUGGGCGAAAGCCUGACGCAGCC